rnacentral:lncRNA from 11 species
UACAUAUUGAAUUAGGAUAGUGGGAAUUAUAGCUCAAUGACUAAAAACACUACAUUGGGAAAGGUGGUUGUAUACUGCUGUGCCAUAUUUGUUGCAAAGCUGUAGAAGCAAAGCUAAAACAGCCUAGCAAAAGCCACUAUGCAACAAAAGUAUAUUUCAUGUGGAAAUGAAAAUAGUACAAACUUUAUAUUCUGUGCAUGUUUUCCUCAAUACAGAUGAAUCUUGGAGACAGACCAGAAAGGGAGAAUAUCUUCACAGAACAAAGACUGUCACUUCAGCAAAUGAGAAUAUGGACUAUUUACAUUGAUUUAGAAGAGCAGACAAAACAACGGUUUUAUACAGCACUAAAGGGAAAGACUGCAUUGCCAGUUUAGAAGGGCAAAGGCACAAAAUAAAGUUCACGAUUAAAUGGUAUUUAAAGUUUGUUUUCUCUGAUCAUAUCACGUGAAUAAAAUCUGCAGCAAGAAUAGGCUUAGUGUGGACAAUUAAGAGCUGUGUAUUCUCAAGAAAAAUGGCUGAAGCUCAUAUAAAAGAAACCCGAAUGAACCUAAAUGAAGAAGAGAAAGGAGCUGAGAUUGAAGCAGUCAAAAUGCUUUUGGCCAGAAGAUCCUUAGAGUAUUUUAAAAAAGGGUCUUCCUUGAACAACUGUUGGUGCUACAAGAGUGAAAGAGGAGAGUGGGUCGUACCUGUAACAUGUUUUUCUUUAGUAAUUUUGACAAUGACAGUUAUUAUUAUU